AACGAACGCUGGAGGCAUGCCUAACACAUGCAAGUCGAACGAGAUAUUCGGGUCUAGUGGCGCACGGGUGCGUAACGCGUGGGAAUCUGCCCUUUGGUUCGGAAUAACAGUUGGAAACGACUGCUAAUACCGGAUGAUGACGAAAGUCCAAAGAUUUAUCGCCAGAGGAUGAGCCCGCGUAGGAAUAGCUAGUUGGUGUGGUAAAGGCGCACCAAGGCGACGAUCCUUAGCUGGUGUGAGAGGAUGAUCAGCCCCACUGGGAAUAAGACACGGCCCAGACUCCUACGGGAGGCAGCAGUGGGGAAUAUUGGACAAUGGGCGAAAGCCUGUUCCAGCAAUACCGCGUGAGUGAUGAAGGCCUUAGGGUUGUAAAGCUCUUUUACCCUGGAUGAUAAUGACAGUACCGGUAGAAUAAGCUCCGGCUAACUCCGUGCCAGCCGCCGCCGUAA
rnacentral:rRNA from 1 species